AUACCGAUAGCAAACAAGUACAGUGAUGGAAAUUUGAAAAGAACUUUGAAGAGAGAGUUAAUAGUACGUGAAACUGUAUGGUAGUAAACGCAGCCUCCCUCGAAGUGCAGCAUUGUGGACCCAACCUAAGCGUGUAGUUGCAUGGCUGUCUGUCCGGAGCCGUUAAAAGCCUGGUAGAUGCUGUGGUUUCAGCUGUGCGUCGCGGGUGCAUUUCUACAUGCUUGACUGUAGGAACUGUUGGACUUGGACUGAAGGCCCAGGGUGGAGACCGAACUGGCUGUAGUGGCCGGCACGGACCCCGUCGGUGUCCUGGCUCCUCGUUCGACAGGCAAUUAGGCCGGCGCUUAUAGAGCGCAAUCGUUGCUAUUGCAACCGGUCGUUCCCUACAGAGUAGGUCGGCGAAGGCUGCGACCCGUCUUGAAACACGGAC
rnacentral:rRNA from 1 species